UAUGAGGGGAGCUAGCGUCGUUCGGAAUCACUGGGAGUAAAGCGAACGUAGGCGGAUUGCUAAGUCAGGGGUGAAAUCCCGGGGCUCAACCUCGGAACUGCCUUUGAUACUGGUGGUCUAGAGUACGGAAGAGGUGUGUGGAAUUCCUAGUGUAGAGGUGAAAUUCAUAGAUAUUAGGAAGAACACCGGUGGCGAAGGCGGCCCACUGGUCCGGUACUGACUCUGAGGUGUGAAAGCUUGGGGAGCAAACAGG
rnacentral:rRNA from 1 species